ensembl:ncRNA mir-4968 mir-4968 stem loop
UUUUCCUCAGAGCCGCGACUGCUGGCGUGUUAUUGUUGCUGUUGCAGCUAGCUGCCACGGUUUGUUGCUUCACUGAUUACGCGCAAUGCAGCAACAGCAGCAGCAGCAGAAGCAACAGCAACUAACUGCAGAGGAGCAAUAGCAGCUGAGAGUUC